UCAUUGCUGCUGUCUUAUUUUAAGAACUUAAUCCAGCUGUCUCAGCCUUCAGUAGGCACCACCCUGAUCAGUCAGCCAUCAGCGUGGAGACAAGGCCAGGAAAAAGAGGAUGACCCCCUGAAAGCUCAGAUAAUGCACUUCUGUGAGAACAGAGCCAUUAUACCAGCCUUGGGAGCCAGAGACAGCUGGAUCCUUCAGGCCCAUGGUUCCAUCUCUGUGGAGAAGAGUGGAAACUGUCAUUGCACCCAGCUUGCUUUCUGUUUCUGCUGCCCUGCCAACUCUCAUCUGUACAGUGUGCUUCAAAAAGCAAACAGGUCACAGAAGUUGUCGUGCUUCAGAGUGGGCUACUGCUGUGUUUCUGUGUACUGCUGUACACUCUGUACCUACUGGAAAUGAUAAGCAUCUGGUCCGCACUGAGGCCUGACUGUGUGUCUAAAGGUGGUAAAUGUGAA